CAGCAACUAAUACCAAAUUUACCUGAAUACUAUGUUCUAGCAUGUUCUACAAUACGAAGUUCUAUAAAUUGUGAUUAAUGUUUUAGUCUACGGUCCUUUAAUUCCAUUUCGGACAUUAUCUCUUGAUUAAUAAUUCAAGGUUUUUAAUUUCUUUGCCCCUCAAACACCUCUUACGUAUAUUUCUAAAGUCAUGUAACUUCAUGAAAAGUGACAUGAGGAUAUUAAUAUUCUUUUAGAUUUUUUUUGCAGAAAAACAAAAUUCAUUUAGGAAGCCAGAAACUCAUAAGAAAUACAGGAACAGCAUUUUUUGUUGUCAUGUAGGGAAAUAAUAGUAGGAAUUGAACAGUUUAAACCGUAAGGUAAUGUGAGAGAAAAAAGUUGAAUUUCCAGAGUACUAGGGAUCAGAUGUGGGAAGGGAGAUCUUUAGUAAAGCAUGAAAUAAAAAUUAUUUCAUGGUAAAGCAGUAGAAAAUUUGAGAUGACAAAUAAAAUUUAAUAAUUUUUCCUGUUAUUUUAAUACAAAGUUUCCAUUGGCUCCUUAGUGGCCCACAGCCUAUUCUCUCCAUGAACCACAAAAAAGUUACAUGGUUUAUUGAAUGUCGUAUGAAGUCUUCCAGUAAUGAUACCUCUGUGAGGUGGGCUGUAUUGUGCUGCCUGGAAAUCAUCUGAUUCUUGUGGCUUGAGGUUCUCAUCAGAAUACAAGUUUCUGGUUACUUUGAAAUUAUUAAAUCAGCAAUACAAGGUGGUUCAGUAAACAGCACAUGAUUUAUCACAGGACAUUCUUUCUCGAAGUAGAUAACACAAAAUCCUUCAAGAGAUGACAUCAGAGCACUGUUAUCAGCCUCCCAGUAUUUUUUCCCAGCUUUUACUUUCAUGCUGAAAUUUAUGGUAGAAGAUAUGGCUUCAAGUCCAGGUGUUUCUCCCUGCUUUCUUGCUCUCCCGACAAACUUUAAGCUUUCCAAAUCUAUUCUUUUCCUCUUCUUUCUAAACUUAUAUAUGUACUGGAUUUCUCUUUUGCAUUAAAAUGUGCUGAGGGCAUUACUUCUGGUUUUCCAAGGUAGAGACAAACACAUCUACAGAGAUUAUAGACUAUUAAUUCAAAUUGGCAACUUGAAAAUUGAUUUUUUAUACUGACAUUAUGAAAUUAAUUUUCAAACACAGUCUUAAUAUUCCUACCACUUAAAUCUUUCUUGAUAAACUUAACAAAUUUCACUUCCCUACUCCACUGAAAAGAAAAGUUGUUGACCAUAGAGUGUGUACAGCUGUGCUUUUUCAAAAUGACAAGUUUGGCUGUAAAAAGGAAAAAA
rnacentral:lncRNA from 1 species